rnacentral:rRNA from 1 species
AGGACGAACGCUGGCGGCGUGCUUAACACAUGCAAGUCGAGCGGAAAGGCCCUUCGGGGUACUCGAGCGGCGAACGGGUGAGUAACACGUGAGCAACCUGCCCUUAGCUCUGGGAUAGCUCCGGGAAACCGGAAUUAAUACCGGAUAUGACCUAGGCCGACAUCGGCCGUGGUGGAAAGUUUUUCGGCUAGGGAUGGACUCGCGGCCUAUCAGCUAGUUGGUGGGGUAAUGGCCUACCAAGGCGACGACGGGUAGCCGGCCUGAGAGGGCGACCGGCCGACACUGGGACUGAGACACGGCCCAGACUCCUACGGGAGGCAGCAGUGGGAAUCUUGCGCAAUGGGCGAAAGCCUGACGCAGCGACGCCGCGUGGGGGAUGAAGGCCUUCGGGUUGUAAACCCCUUUCAGCAGGGACGAAGCGAAAGUGACGGUACCUGCAGAAGAAGCGCCGGCUAACUACGCGCCAGCAGCCGC